rnacentral:rRNA from 1 species
UACGGAGGGUGCGAGCGUUGUCCGGAAUCAUUGGGCGUAAAGGGCGCGUAGGUGGCCUGUGCAAGCGUGCGGUGAAAGCUCGGGGCUCAACCCCCGGGUCGGCCGUGCGAACUGCUGGGCUGGAGCACUGUAGAGGCAGGCGGAAUUCCUGGUGUAGCGGUGGAAUGCGCAGAUAUCAGGAAGAACACCCGUGGCGAAGGCGGCUCUCUGGAACGCAACUGACGCUGAUGCACGAAAGCUAGGGGAGCAAACAGG